rnacentral:rRNA from 1 species
UCGGGAAUUUUGGGCAAUGGGGGAAACCCUGACCCAGCAACGCCGCGUGAAGGAUGAAGUAUUUCGGUAUGUAAACUUCGAAAGAAUAGGAAGAAUAAAUGACGGUACUAUUUAUAAGGUCCGGCUAACUACGUGCCAGCAGCCGCGGUAAUACGUAGGGACCAAGCGUUGUUCGGAUUUACUGGGCGUAAAGGGCGCGUAGGCGGCAUGACAAGUCACUUGUGAAAUCUCUGGGCUUAACCCAGAACGGCCAAGUGAUACUGUCGCGCUAGAGUGCAGAAGGGGCAAUCGGAAUUCUUGGUGUAGCGGUGAAAUGCGUAGAUAUCAAGAGGAACACCUGAGGUGAAGACGGGUUGCUGGGCUGACACUGACGCUGAGGCGCGAAAGCCAGGGGAGCAAACGGGAUUAGAUACCCAAGUAGUCCCUGAGCGGGCUGGCAAGGCG